GACGUAGGGCGCGAGCGUUGUCCGGAUUUAUUGGGCGUAAAGAGCUCGUAGGCGGCUUGUCGCGUCGACUGUGAAAACCCGCGGCUCAACCGUGUGGCUUGCAGUUGAUACGGGCAGGCUAGAGUUCGGUAGGGGAGACUGGAAUUCCUGGUGUAGCGGUGAAAUGCGCAGAUAUCAGGAGGAACACCGGUGGCGAAGGCGGGUCUCUGGGCCGAUACUGACGCUGAGGAGCGAAAGCGUGGGGAGCGAACAGG
rnacentral:rRNA from 1 species